GAGGGAGGGCCGCGCCGACAGGGAGUGCUAAUCCCGGUGACCGAGGUUGGACUCCUCGGCUCACUCG
rnacentral:tRNA from 1 species